AGUCAGUACUCCGAACUAGGAGCUACCCAAACCAUAGUACUCAAUAUAACAUGAGUUGCAAACCAAACAAUGAAUACAAACAAGUUGCUUACUUGAAUCAGAAUGGUAAAUACAAAAGUACCUCAGAACGCAGCUCCGGGUGAGGGAGCCGAAUCUAGACGAAUACAGCUCAUGAGGAAGCUCCGACAGGCCUGGAUUCCUCUGAAUCUCUACUCCUCUACUCUAUCUCUAUAAUCUAUAUCUUGAUUGCUAGCUUAGAUCUAGUGGAUAUCUAUCUAAUGCUCUAACUCUUCAUCUCUUGAUCUGGCCUAUUCUAGGGGGGUCUAGCCUUCUAUUUAUAGCCUGGUGGGAUGGAUACGCGCCAUUGGAUCAAACCGACUUAACAAGCGGCCGAGAUGGCUCCUCAGAGGCGGUGGAGGAAGCUUCCGGAAGGGGGCCAAAACCCUAGCCACAGGGGGCCAGGCGGCGCCAGGGUGGGGCCGGCCGGCCCCACCUAGUGGCUUCUGCCGGUCCCGUUGCUUCUGAAUUCUUCUGGAGUGUUCUUGAUCCCUCUGGUGUCAUCCUUACAUUGCGGAUAAGUUUCAUGGUUGAUUAGCACUUAAAUCCCUCAUUUUAGCUAUUUCUGAAAUAAUCCUUGAAAAACACAGAAUAUACAAAACUCAUGGAAAUUGUCAGUGAUAACCCUAUUCUAGUAAAUAUUCAAAUCUGGUGGAGAACUAAAUGCUAACAAAUUUUGUAAGUUAAUAGGUGUCAACACACAUCUACAUAAUGCGCAUCACCUAACUCUCUCGAGUACUGAAUCACGCUUUACGAUCAUAUAACAAUAAUCAUC
rnacentral:lncRNA from 1 species